GUAGAACUGCCCGUUGAUACUGCGAGUCUUGAGUAAAUUUGAAGUGGCUGGAAUAAGUAGUGUAGCGGUGAAAUGCAUAGAUAUUACUUAGAACACCAAUUGCGAAGGCAGGUCACUAAGAUUUAACUGACGCUGAUGGACGAAAGCGUGGGGAGCGAACAGGAUUAGAUACCCUGGUAGUCCACGCCGUAAACGAUGCUAACUCGUUUUUGGAUUUUCGGAUUCAGAGACCAAGCGAAAGUGAUAAGUUAGCCACCUGGGGAGUACGUUCGCAAGAAUGAAACUCAAAGGAAUUGACGGGGGCCCGCACAAGCGGUGGAUUAUGUGGUUUAAUUCGAUGAUACGCGAGGAACCUUACCAAGACUUAAAUGGGAAUUGACAGAUUUAGAAAUAGAUCCUCCUUAGGGCAAUUUUCAAGGUGCUGCAUGGUUGUCGUCAGCUCGUGCCGUGAGGUGUUAGGUUAAGUCCUGCAACGAGCGCAACCCCUGUCACUAGUUGCUAACAUUCAGUUGAGGACUCUAGUGAGACUGCCUACGCAAGUAGAGAGGAAGGUGGGGAUGACGUCAAAUCAUCACGGCCCUUACGUCUUGGGCCACACACGUAAUACAAUGGCCGGUACAGAGGGCAGCUACACAGCGAUGUGAUGCAAAUCUCGAAAGCCGGUCUCAGUUCGGAUUGGAGUCUGCAACUCGACUCUAUGAAGCUGGAAUCGCUAGUAAUCGCGCAUCAGCCAUGGCGCGGUGAAUACGUUCCCGGGCCUUGUUCGCACCGCCCGUC
rnacentral:rRNA from 1 species